UACGUAGGGUGCAAGCGUUAAUCGGAAUUACUGGGCGUAAAGCGUCUGUAGGUGGCUUUUUAAGUCCGCCGUCAAAUCCCAGGGCUCAACCCUGGACAGGCGGUGGAAACUACCAAGCUGGAGUACGGUAGGGGCAGAGGAAUUUCCGGUGGAGCGGUGAAAUGCGUAGAGAUCGGAAAGAACACCAACGGCGGAAAGCACUCUGCUGGCCGACACUGACACUGAGAGACGAAAGCUAGGGGAGCGAAUGGG
rnacentral:rRNA from 1 species